CGUCAGGACGAACGCUGGCGGCGUGCCUAAUACAUGCAAGUCGAACGGUCUUUCUAUGGAAGCUUGCUCCACUGAGAAGAUAGUGGCGAACGGGUGAGUAACAACGUGGGUAACCUGCCCAUAAGAGGGGGAUAACAUCCGGAAACGGGUGCUAAUACCGCAUAGUUUUCUUGAUCGCAUGAUCGGGAAAGGAAAGACGGCCUUUGUGCUGUCGCUUAUGGAUGGACCCGCGGCGUAUUAGUUAGUUGGUGAGGUAACGGCUCACCAAGACGAUGAUACGUAGCCGACCUGAGAGGGUGAUCGGCCACAUUGGGACUGAGACACGGCCCAAACUCCUACGGGAGGCAGCAGUAGGGAAUCUUCCGCAAUGGACGAAAGUCUGACGGAGCAACGCCGCGUGAGUGAAGAAAAGGUUUUCGGAUCGUAAAACUCUGUUGUCAGAGAAGAACAAGUUGGAGAGUAACUGCUCCAGCCUUGACGGUAUCUGACCAGAAAGCCACGGCUAACUACGUGCCAGCAGCCGC
rnacentral:rRNA from 1 species